rnacentral:ncRNA from 1 species
UAAACGGUCCUUUUCAGGGCCAUUAAUAUUUUACGAAAAUUCACCU